rnacentral:rRNA from 1 species
UUAAAUUGAAGAGUUUGAUCAUGGCUCAGAUUGAACGCUGGCGGCAGGCCUAACACAUGCAAGUCGAACGGUAACAGGAAGCAGCUUGCUGCUUUGCUGACGAGUGGCGGACGGGUGAGUAAUGUCUGGGAAACUGCCUGAUGGAGGGGGAUAACUACUGGAAACGGUAGCUAAUACCGCAUAACGUCGCAAGACCAAAGAGGGGGACCUUCGGGCCUCUUGCCAUCGGAUGUGCCCAGAUGGGAUUAGCUAGUAGGUGGGGUAACGGCUCACCUAGGCGACGAUCCCUAGCUGGUCUGAGAGGAUGACCAGCCACACUGGAACUGAGACACGGUCCAGACUCCUACGGGAGGCAGCAGUGGGGAAUAUUGCACAAUGGGCGCAAGCCUGAUGCAGCCAUGCCGCGUGUAUGAAGAAGGCCUUCGGGUUGUAAAGUACUUUCAGCGGGGAGGAAGGGAGUAAAGUUAAUACCUUUACUCAUUGACGUUACCCGCAGAAGAAGCACCGGCUAACUCCGUGCCAGCAGCCGCGGUAAUACGGAGGGUGCAAGCGUUAAUCGGAAUUACUGGGCGUAAAGCGCACGCAGGCGGUUUGUUAAGUCAGAUGUGAAAUCCCCGGGCUCAACCUGGGAACUGCAUCUGAUACUGGCAAGCUUGAGUCUCGUAGAGGGGGGUAGAAUUCCAGGUGUAGCGGUGAAAUGCGUAGAGAUCUGGAGGAAUACCGGUGGCGAAGGCGGCCCCCUGGACGAAGACUGACGCUCA